rnacentral:rRNA from 1 species
GAUGAACGCUGGCGGCGUGCCUAAUACAUGCAAGUCGAGCGAACAGACGAGGAGCUUGCUCCUCUGACGUUAGCGGCGGACGGGUGAGUAACACGUGGAUAACCUACCUAUAAGACUGGGAUAACUUCGGGAAACCGGAGCUAAUACCGGAUAAUAUAUUGAACCGCAUGGUUCAAUAGUGAAAGACGGUUUUGCUGUCACUUAUAGAUGGAUCCGCGCCGCAUUAGCUAGUUGGUAAGGUAACGGCUUACCAAGGCAACGAUGCGUAGCCGACCUGAGAGGGGGAUCGGCCACACUGGAACUGAGACACGGUCCAGACUCCUACGGGAGGCAGCAGUAGGGAAUCUUCCGCAAUGGGCGAAAGCCUGACGGAGCAACGCCGCGUGAGUGAUGAAGGUCUUCGGAUCGUAAAACUCUGUUAUUAGGGAAGAACAAAUGUGUAAGUAACUAUGCACGUCUUGACGGUACCUAAUCAGAAAGCCACGGCAACUACGUG